ACGUAGGGCGCAAGCGUUGUCCGGAAUUAUUGGGCGUAAAGAGCUCGUAGGCGGUUUGUCGCGUCUGGUGUGAAAACUCAAGGCUCAACCUUGAGCUUGCAUCGGGUACGGGCAGACUAGAGUGCGGUAGGGGUGACUGGAAUUCCUGGUGUAGCGGUGGAAUGCGCAGAUAUCAGGAGGAACACCGGUGGCGAAGGCGGCAUCCUGGACCGGCAUUGACGCUGAGGCGCGAAAGCCAGGGGAGCAAACGGGA
rnacentral:rRNA from 1 species